UACGUAGGUCCCGAGCGUUAUCCGGAUUUAUUGGGCGUAAAGCGAGCGCAGGCGGUUAGAUAAGUCUGAAGUUAAAGGCUGUGGCUUAACCAUAGUACGCUUUGGAAACUGUUUAACCCGAGUGCAGAAGGGGAGAGUGGAAUUCCAUGUGUAGCGGUGAAAUGCGUAGAUAUAUGGAGGAACACCGGUGGCGAAAGCGGCUCUCUGGUCUGUAACUGACGCUGAGGCUCGAAAGCGUGGGGAGCAAACAGGAUUAGAU
rnacentral:rRNA from 1 species